rnacentral:pre_miRNA from 1 species
UCUUAUGGGUGAACAGAGAAAGUAGUUUCUUAAGAGGGAAUCUACUCCUGGUGAAGAUGCUGUGAA